rnacentral:rRNA from 1 species
GAAGUCUGCAACUCGACUUCAUGAAGCUGGAAUCGCUAGUAAUCGCGAAUCAGCAUGUCGCGGUGAAUACGUUCUCGGGGUUUGUACACACCGCCCGUCAAACCAUGAAAGUUAGCAAUACCCGAAAGCAGUGGCUUAACUUCGUAAGAAGAGGGAGCUGUCUAAGGUAGGGUUGAUGAUUGGGGUUAAGUCGUAACAAGGUAUCCUUACCGGAAGGUGAGGAUGGAUCACCUCCUUUCUAAGGACAAUAAAAAUCAUCAUCUUCAGUUUUGAAAGACUUAGGUUAAAAUAUAAGUUUUUCUUUUUUAAAAAAAAGUGUUUCUCUUAUAUAAAAGACCAAAGGGCCUAUAGCUCAGAUUGGUUAGAGCACACGCCUGAUAAGCGUGAGGUCGGUGGUUCGAGUCCACUUAGGCCCACCAAUCUUAUAUCAGGAAACUAUUUACUUUGAAGAAAGUUCUUUGAAAAGUAGAUAAACAUGAUUUGCUUAAUUUAAUUAAAAUUGAAGAAAGCAAGGGCGUAUAGUGGAACGCAUUGGCACUAAGAGCCGAUGAAGGACG